AUUGAACGCUGGCGGCAGGCCUAACACAUGCAAGUCGAACGAGUGGCGGACGGGUGAGUAAUGUAUGGGAAAAUGCCUGAUGGAGGGGGACUACCACCGGAAACGGCAGCUAAUACCGCAUACCAUCAGAUGUGCCAAGAUGGGAUUAGCUAGUUGGUGGGGUAACGGCUCACCAAUGCGACGAUCCCUAGCUGGGCUGAGAGGAUGACCAGCCACACUGGAACUGAGACACGGUCCAUACUCCUACGGGAGGCAUCAAUGGGGAAUAUUGCACAAUGGGCUCAAGCCUGAUGCAGCCAUGCCGAGUGUAUGAAGAAGGCCUUCGGGUUGUAAAGUCCUUUCAGCGGGGAUGCGUUACCCGCAGAAGAAGCACCGGCUAACUCCGUGCCAGCAGCCGCGGUAAUAC
rnacentral:rRNA from 1 species